UACGAAGGGGGCUAGCGUUGCUCGGAAUCACUGGGCGUAAAGCGCUCGUAGGCGGAUUGUUAAGUCGGGGGUGAAAUCCUGGAGCUCAACUCCAGAACUGCCUUCGAUACUGGCAAUCUUGAGUCCGGGAGAGGUGAGUGGAACUCCGAGUGUAGAGGUGAAAUUCGUAGAUAUUCGGGAAGAACACCAGUGGCGAAGGCGGCU
rnacentral:rRNA from 1 species